AUGCCCUUACCACAUUGAAAACACCGGUUCGCGUCCGAUCACCGAAGUUAAGCAAUGUCAGGCCAGGUCAGUACUUGGGAGGGUGACCACUUUGGAACACCGGGUGCAGAAGGUU